rnacentral:lncRNA from 1 species
UGUAGUUCACAGAAAGUUCAGUUCUAGUGGCCACAGCAGAUAGCAAGCUGUUUUCCUAGUGUGCCAACAAAGAACUGCAAACACUCCAUGGAGAAAUGAUUAGCACUCCAUCCCCACAGCUUGCAGGGAUAUGGGUACUUGCGGCACUCUCCCUCUUGUCCUUAGUAUUCCAAAUCCCAUGGCUCCUUCAACUUCCUCUCUACCAUUGACAGAAAGAAGGGCAAAGAGUAGAAAUAAAGCAAAAGGCUGACUCCUGGCUAGAAAGACGCGUGCUUCCCACGGUUCUCCUCUUGUAGAUUAGAUUGGAAGCUGCACCCCUCCAUGUAAGGACUCUGCAGUCACUGAUUUCUACUUGGAGAUGAGGGUCUUCCUGUCGGUCUUCGGGUGAUUACUUCAUGUUUGCCACAACCCCACCCCAAGCUGAUCCCGAGACUCAUUGUUCAUAGAGCCAACCACCUUCCUAACACCCAACUAAACCAAUAACAGCACUCCCGAGACCUCAGUGGGGUCAGCCUGGCAUGGUAACCUCAGACUCGGGCAGCUCUUUAUCUCAGCCUUUCUAGCCCUCUCAAAAACCUCCGUAGAUACACCUGUCGGUAGCAGAGCCCCUCUGUACCCAUGAUUACAACAGUUUACAUUUUAAAGAGUUUAAAAUAGAACUUUUUACUCUUUGAUUUCUGUUAGUGCUAAUACGCCCCAGUCAUCCUCCUAAGAAGGAGGUGAACAUACAAAAAAAGAGGUAGAUGGCCAAACAUCAAAAUGAGAACAGACUUAAUAGGGAAAAAAAAAUCUGAAUUCCUUGAUAAGCUUAUAUUUCUGAAAAUCAAAUUUUCAGUUGGGAAUAUAUUCUAACCUAUUUCUACUCUUUCUUUCCUUGUCAUUUCCCAUCUAAGUAUAUUCUUUUCUUUUCUUUUAGACAAAACUCCCUGAUUCUUUUCCAGUAGUCACUCUGAGCACACCAUCUUUGUCAUUCCUCAGCCAUGCCCCCAUUGCAGCACAGUGGUCAGAAAUAAUCAUACCAAACAGGAGUGUAGUUUCCUCAGUGGAAUUCUGCUGUUUUGCAGCACUAAAUGGGUGACUUGCUGCCUUGUAUUUGGUAUUUGUUAAUAAAAUCUUGUAGCCAAAAAACAUCUAAACUUUAGCCACUGUUACUAAAAACUAUUUCUGAAUUAAAUUUGUGAAAUAGAGCCCAAAAAAAGUCUUCCUCAUUAAAUCUGAAGUGUGUCAUGUUUCUAGAUGUUUCCAGAGACAGAAAGUAUAAUCUCUUAAUGAAGACUUCUGAAUUGUAAAAGUAGCAGCCAGUGUGUUUAAAUUGCUUAUUUCCAAAAAAAUUCUAUUGGGAAGAUCACAAGUAGAUUUUUUUUUUCAAAUGGAAAUAACUUCCCAUUGCUCCUCCACUUCUGACACAAAUAAUAAGGACCUCGUUUGCCCUCUUGCC